CUUUGCUGGCGACCGGCGCACGGGUGAGUAACACGUAUCCAACCUGUCCUUUACUCGGGGAUAGCCUUUCGAAAGAAAGAUUAAUACCCGAUAGCAUAAUGAUUCCGCAUGGUUUCAUUAUUAAAGGAUUCCGGUAAAGGAUGGGGAUGCGUUCCAUUAGGUUGUUGGUGAGGUAACGGCUCACCAAGCCUUCGAUGGAUAGGGGUUCUGAGAGGAAGGUCCCCCACAUUGGAACUGAGACACGGUCCAA
rnacentral:rRNA from 1 species